GGGACCCAAGCUUGAGACCUACACCCACACUUCAUUUGAGAAGGAUUUAAGGUACAAGUGUGGUUCUUGAAUCAAUUCAAGAGAAAGCUUGAAAUUCUUGAGUUAGUGGAACUAACAAAGUUCAAGGUUAGUGAAUUGGCGUGAAGUGUACGCUACUUUCUUGGUGAGGAUUGCGUGUUUACUUCGAGGUGAGACAGGAUCUAGUGCACAGGCUGCGGAUCAGCAGGAGGACGUGUGACGGAGGUUGCCUGGACUUUUGUGGUUGUGUGACACGUGUGUGUGGAUUUAUAUAUAUGUAUGGUGUGAUGUUGGUACGUUUUAGUAGUUUAAGUACAUUGAUGUACUAUGGUUAUGGUUGGAUUGAUGUAUGGUGUUGUUUUUUUGUUGGCCGGGAGUGGGGGCAGUGAC